AUUGCUGGCUGAAAACGGGAAAAGACCGUGGAAAAGAAAGAAGAAAUAGCCGAAUCGUACCGAACAGAACCAACUAUUUGCUUAUUUCAUGGAUGUGAUUGGAAAUUGGCCUCGCUGUGCGAGUGUGUGUGUGUUUGUGUGUGUGCAUGGGUGUCCGUUUGUGUGCGAGUUCUUCCUGUGUUUCGUGGUGUGCGUGAGUGCCCAAGUCAGUGCUAGACAAAGAGCGCAAUAAACCAAAGGCACACAAAAGCGGGCUCAAACCGAAAUAUUAAUACAGAGCAAGAAAUUGGGAUCGCUUUAAGGAUCAUCAGAAUCUUCUUAAACUCCAGCAUAGCUUAUAAAGUCCUUAUCAAUACAUUCGAUUAUAUCUUCAAAUGGUAUUAGAUACCCUAAGGUUUCUCUUUAUAGGAAGCCUUGUGGGCAGCAGUCUACGUAGUGACGAGUUGCACCAGUACUACACACGAUCAAAUGGCGGUCUUCCGACCAUCACCAGGGAUACAUCAAUGGAAAGAUCUGUUAACAAGGAAAAUACUUUUACCAAAGGACAAACGUUGUAGGUGUAAAAGAAAGCCGCUAUAGUUUCUUUCAGUGCAUACUCACACCUAUAAACACGACUGCACGUCGCUGUCAUCAUUCCAAUGGGAGACGUCGACGUCGACGGAGGAGUCAUCGCAGUCCAUUGUUAGUUUCGUUCUUUCUCCCACAACGACGCUUUGGUUUUGGGCUCUUUCUGCUGGUCUUUCGCCGUCUUCGCUACAGUCUUACCUGUAGGGCUCGCCGCACGUUCUUCCCUGCCCCUUCCCCCUUCCCCCGUGCGCCCUUGCCCCCUUAGCCCUAGCCCCUCUCGGGAACCCCCAUCAGAAUACCCUGUGAGCCCACGCCACUGCCACUACCACUGCCACCGCCACUGGCACUUCCAUGAACCCAAGGAACGCAAUGUGGUUCCAUUUCCAUUAAUUUGGUACGCUAUCGCGACGCUGAGUCGCCCGUGGAAGUCGCCGCUUUCUGCGGUUUCGGUUCUUGGUUCUUUGGGCUCUUUUACUUACUUUUGCUGGAAGCGUGAAAUAUUUCUGUAUCUAUGGGUUUUCUUUAAAAUAUUUGUGUGGAUGGAACACAGAUAUGUGGGUCAUUGGUUAAGUAUGAUAACUGUAUGAUUACUUUUGAUACAGGAUGCAUUUUUAGUAGGUGUUUAAAAUAUCUUCUUAAGCAAUAGUUAAUCCCAUUGGUCACAUCGGCCGAUCGACGCUUGUAGGCUAUAAUUAUGUACGCGUUCGGCUAAACAAAAUAAUGGCCAAGUGAUUAACAGUCAUGGGAAAUGAAUUGCCCGCAAUUUCCCAGUUGGACGACAGAGGAUGUGGAUGUGCAGCUCGGUGGUUCGGUGGCUCGGCGGUGGCUCAGUGGUGGUGCAGUGGAUUGGGUGGUGCAACUGUGGCCAAGAAACCUGUGCGUGCCCAUUGCCAUCGAAAAUUCUAUCGCGAGUACAACGCACCGAGAUUUUGGCCCUUCGUUUUGUUUGGCAUUUUUUUUUUUUUGUUGGUAAUACCGCCGCCGGGUGGACGCCGUCGACUGCGACGCACAGUGGAGCUUCUUAAUGUGACCGAUGCGGCUGCCAGUUGGCUGUGCUCCUUGCAAUCUGGAUUUUCCCCAAGGAGGCGGUGGCGCAGGGGGUGUGGCAGGGGCCGAAUGCUGGAUGGCCUUCGUCUUUAACAGCAUUCAUCCAUCUAUACUCGCGGCCGCUGGUGCUUCUUCCUCGCAGCUUGAUCUUCUGAUCCUCACCAUUUGUAUUUGUGUGAGCAAGUGCACUGCGAGAAACGCACAUGUA